GUUGCAUACAGCUAGGAUUUCAGAAUAUCCAAAAUGAGGGAGAUCUUUGAUUAUUCUCAUGUACCGGGACAUGCUGUUCUUCACCGUGGUCGUCACCGGCAUGGUGCUAGACCUACAACAUCUGGUGCAGAAGGUAUUUGCAUCAAAUAGUCUAGCUCCUUAUUUCAGUUAUGCAGCAAAUUAUGUGAUUUUAGAAUACCAUGGCCUUUCUUUUGCAUUCCUC